AGGGGAAAGCGGGGGAUCGUAAGACCUCGCGUUAUACGAGCGGCCGAUGUCGGAUUAGCUAGUUGGUGGGGUAAAGGCCUACCAAGGCGACGAUCCGUAGCGGGUCUGAGAGGAUGAUCCGCCACACUGGGACUGAGACACGGCCCAGACUCCUACGGGAGGCAGCAGUGGGGAAUUUUGGACAAUGGGCGCAAGCCUGAUCCAGCCAUGCCGCGUGAGUGAAGAAGGCCUUCGGGUUGUAAAGCUCUUUCAGACGGAAAGAAAUCGCGCGCUCUAACAUAGCGUGUGGAUGACGGUACCGUAAGAAGAAGCACCGGCUAACUACGUG
rnacentral:rRNA from 1 species